rnacentral:rRNA from 1 species
ACACGUAUGGUGCAAACGUUGUUCGGAAUCACUGGGCCUAAAGAGCGCGUAGGCGGCUUGGUAAGUUACGUGUGAAAUCCCUCGGCUCAACCGAGGAACUGCACCUAAUACUGCCUGGCUAGAGUGCAGGAGGGGAGAGUGGAAUUCCUGGUGGAGCGGUGAAAUGCGUAGAUAUCAGGAGGAACGCCGGUGGCGAAAGCGACUCUCUGGCCUGCUACUGACGCUGAGGCGCGAAAGCUAGGGGAGCAAACAGGAUUAGAAACCCCAGUAGUCC